rnacentral:rRNA from 1 species
UACGGAGGGUGCGAGCGUUGUCCGGAAUCACUGGGCGUAAAGGGCGCGUAGGCGGUCCGGUAAGCGUGUGGUGAAAGCCCGGGGCUCAACCCCGGGUCUGCCGUGCGAACUGCCGGACUCGAGCACUGUAGAGGCAGGUGGAAUUCCGAGUGUAGCGGUGGAAUGCGUAGAGAUUCGGAGGAACACCGGUGGCGAAGGCGGCCUGCUGGGCAGUAGCUGACGCUGAGGCGCGACAGCGUGGGGAGCAAACAGG